CUACGGGCUGCAGCAGUGGGGAAUAUUGCACAAUGGGCGCAAGCCUGAUGCAGCCAUGCCGCGUGUAUGAAGAAGGCCUUCGGGUUGUAAAGUACUUUCAGCGGGGAGGAAGGGAGUAAAGUUAAUACCUUUGCUCAUUGACGUUACCCGCAGAAGAAGCACCGGCGAACUCCGUGCCAGCAGCCGCGGUAAUACGGAGGGUGCAAGCGUUAAUCGGAAUUACUGGGCGUAAAGCGCACGCAGGCGGUUUGUUAGGUCAGAUGUGAAAUCCCCGGGCUCAACCUGGGAACUGCAUCUGAUACUGGCAAGCUUGAGUCUCGUAGAGGGGGGUAGAAUUCCAGGUGUAGCGGUGAAAUGCGUAGAGAUCUGGAGGAAUACCGGUGGCGAAGGCGGCCCCCUGGACGAAGACUGACGCUCAGGUGCGAAAGCGUGGGGAGCAAACAGGAUUAGAUACCCUCGUAGUC
rnacentral:rRNA from 1 species